CCCGCCAACCAACCCCAGACUCUGAUUACUAACUGCCAAUCUUAGAGUCCUGACUCAAAUAUUCUCUGCCUCCCACUCUGUUGUCCCCAGACCCAGGCAACUCACAGCCCAUGAAAGCACCUGCCGUGGUCACAGGGUACUCCACGGCUUCAGAUGUGCCUAUGCUACCUCGGCCAGCAGGCCUGCCCCAGGAGCCCACCCUUGGGGCUGUUCUUGCCUUUGGGAUGGCUCUGUAGCUGGGACCAAUCAUAGCCAAAGCAGGGACUUUCUUCAGCUGCUGUGUAGGUUCCCAGGGGGUGCCUCAGGACUCACUGGCAGUCCUUCCUGUGCACUGUUCUUUCAGUCUGGUCCCUGCUCUACCUGCCUACCUGGGGUGGACCCCAGGCACUCCCCUUUGAGGAAGUGGGGUGAACUACACCCAGGCAGGGACUUGUAACACAACAUCAUAGGGUCAUCCGUGUUCAUAGGAAUCUUUUGUACUUUGCACCCAGCACACCAGGUGGUGUAUCCUGGUGUCUGGGUCCUGGGAUGGUGGUGACUGAAAUAAAGAUAUGCAUCCUUC
rnacentral:lncRNA from 1 species